rnacentral:rRNA from 1 species
AUUGAACGCUGGCGGCAGGCCUAACACAUGCAAGUCGAACGAGUGGCGGACGGGUGAGUAAUGUCUGGGACACUGCCUGAUGGAGGGGGAUAACUACUGGAACCGGUAGCUAAUACCGCAAACUAUCAGAUGUGCCCAGAUGGGAUUAGCUUGUUGGUGGGGUAACGGCUCACCAAGGCGACGAUCCCUAGCUGGCCUGCGAGGAUGACCAGCCACCCUGGAGCUGAGACACGGUCCAUACUCCUACGGGAAGCAGCAGUGGGGAGUAUUGCACAAUGGGCGCAAGCCUGAUGCAGCCAUGCCGCGUGUAUGAAGAGGGCCUUCGGGUUGUAAAGUACUUUCAGCGGGGAGGCGUUACCCGCAGAAGAAGCACCGGCUAACUCCGUGCCAGCAGCCGCGGUAGUAC